GCACCAAUGGUUUAAUGGUAAAAUAUGCGCUUCCCAUGCGCAUGCUACGGGUUCGAUUCCCGUUUGGUGCA